UUGGAAUCUAUUUGUUAAAUGUCUAUAUAUAUGUAUGUAUGUAUGUAAGUAUACCGAUGUAUAGCUGUAUAGCAUGGCAUAGGUAAUGGUAAAACAGGGAUGAUAAAAAUGAAUUAAAUGGAAAAUCAUAUGCGGUACUUUAGCCAGUGAGUUGGUGUCUUUAAUAGUUGUAUUUAGUAGUGCAAGAAAAUUGAUAUAUUUAAAUUAUGGAUAAUAAUUUUUUUUUCCCUUACUGUCAAAGGGACACUCUUGGGUGACCUGAUUAUUUAGUGAUGGGUGGCUAUGGUUUGAGCUCUUACCUAGGCCAGAGUUGGGGGAGGGGCCAGUUAGGUUGAUGGGGUACAAAUGUUUAAUAACUAAACCUCUUCAGGCAGCUGGUAUAUCAGCUGAUAAUGUAUGCUGCUGAGAUAUUGUCCCAAAAAUUAGUAUUUGGCCAAGAAGCCAAGCUUUGAGGGCAAAUGUGAAAUUUUGAGGAAAAUCUCUUAGCCAAGGAAAUUAUUACCUGACAUACCAAGAAGCCAGAAGUGCGUUUAUUUAUUUUAUGUGACUCUCCCAUUAAUUUUUGUUUUGCGUAUUGACAGCAAUUUUUUUGACUUUUUUUGUACUUCCUAGAGCAACAUUUGAGAUCAAAUUUUUAAUGGUAGUACCUGUCAAAUCUACAAAACGAGUUUUUAUACCAGGCAAUUAAUUAAGAUGAGAAAUAUGAAACUCUUGAGACAGCUCUUUUAUGCUGGCUCUAUUUCUUUUCAAAGGAAAACAAGGAGGACAAAUAUCAAUGUAAAUGGUGGUUAUUGCACAAUAACUGUCUGGUGAUUUUGUACCACGUGACGAAAAGUAGCCAAUAGAGUCGCGUAAAAAAUAAUGUGCGGGUUAUAAAGAGAGUUUUCCGUAGCUGAAAUGUCGAAUUUGGAAGGAGCUUUUGCGCCAGUUCCCGUUCAAAGGGGAACUGGCAGCUAUUACAGAGGAUUUGUUAAACCACCUGAAAGAUUUAUCAGUACUCAACUGUCAGGGGGACUCAGGGUACUAUAUCAAAAGCUUGAAG